UACGAAGGGUGCAAGCGUUGUUCGGAAUUAUUGGGCGUAAAGGGUUCGUAGGCGGGACUGAAAGUCAAGUGUGAAAUCCCCGAGCUUAACUCGGGACGUGCAUUUGAAACUUCAGUUCUUGAGUCAUAGAGAGGGUAAUGGAAUUGUUGGUGUAGGAGUGACAUCCGUAGAGAUCAACAGGAACAUCAGAGGCGAAAGCGGUUACCUGGCUAUGAACUGACGCUGAGGAACGAAAGUGUGGGGAGCAAACAGG
rnacentral:rRNA from 1 species